AGAGUUUGAUCAUGGCUCAGGAUUAACGCUGGCGGUGUGCCUAAUACAUGCAAGUCGAGCGCUCUGGAACCCUGUUUACAAGAUAUUGUAGAUAGAGUCCAGAGAGCGGCAGACGGGUGAGUAACACGUGGGAACGUGCCCUUCAGUUCGGAACAACCAAGGGAAACUUUGGCUAAUACCGGAUACGUCCGAAAGGAGAAAGAUUUAUCGCUGAAGGAGCGGCCCGCGUCUGAUUAGCUAGUUGGUGAGGUAAUGGCUCACCAAGGCGACGAUCAGUAGCUGGUCUGAGAGGAUGAUCAGCCUCACUGGGACUGAGACACGGCCCAGACUCCUACGGGAGGCAGCAGUGGGGAAUAUUGGACAAUGGGCGCAAGCCUGAUCCAGCCAUGCCGCGUGGAUGAUGAAGGCCCUAGGGUUGUAAAGUCCUUUCGUUGGGGAAGAUAAUGACGGUACCCAAAGAAGAAGCCCCGGCUAACUUCGUG
rnacentral:rRNA from 1 species